GCCGUAGCCGGGCUGGCCGUAGGGGCCCGGCUGCUGGGGCUGGCCGUACGGGCCUGACUGCUGCGGCGGGCCGUACGGACCCGGCUGCUGCGGCU
rnacentral:tRNA from 1 species